CUCCCCAGAUGCUGCAUUUUCUGCCUCGGCCGGCUCUUACCAGGCCAGUCUGGUCCUGCCCGCUGUUCGUCCUGGUAUGUCAGCUUGGCAUAGCGUAGAGGCUGUUGGCCCCAAGCCAGCUCUGGUUCGCCUGCGCCUCCCCAGCCCACACGAUAGAGACCGCGACCCACCACCCGGAGCCACGCAGGGAAUUGUUGACGCGUGGGACGCAGGAAGAGCACGUGUGCCCCGCUCCGAGGCGCCUGGCGGGGGCAGGAGUCAGGCCCUGACGGCAUGGUUCGAAUCUUGGGUUGCCGCAAAGCAGGCAAGUGAUUUGAACAAGUCACGCAAUCUCUUAGGGCCUCGGUUUCCCCACUCAUAGCAUAAAGAUGAUACAGUAAAAACCCCCCAUCAGGUGAUGGGUAGGUCAGUCUCAUAAAACGCAAGUGCACAAUUUCGAGAAGUUAAUGAAAUGACUUGGCUUCCCAGGGUUCUGGCGAUGUCAGGUAAGUCCUCCUCUCCAGCCUCAGCUGUGGUUUGGUGCCACCUGAGCACUGUUUACUCUGGUUUAAAUAUUGAUGGAGACAAGGAUGGGUCCCGUUCCGCCACUGGCUAAAGUUCCCAGGACAGGAGCAACAAUUCCAGGAAUCUUGUCACCUGGCACCCUUAGUGUCUUCUGGACCCAGGGAAGUUUGGCUGGAAGAACACAGAGGACACAGGGACUCACUCUCUGCCCACCUCCCACCUCCCCAGAGGGAGCUACAGCCCUUCCCACUCUGGUCGCUGCAUUACCGAACGACAAGGCAGGAAACGCAGAGUUUGGAGGGGCCAAUGCAAUCAUCGUGGCAGAAUGCUCCACACCCCUUGCACAUGAUCAUGGCUUUCAAGCGGCAGUAACAUUUCGAAGUAACUGGACAAAAAGGCCUGGAUAGCAAAAUGGCAUUUCAUGGUAUGGCUAAAGAGCUUGAAGAUACCACAUAAAGUAUGCUGGUGAAUUCUUCUGACUACCAGCACCACCAGCUUCCACCUGGAUUGUCACUCCACAUUUGGGGGCCCCCAUCCAAUUAGGAGAAAUAUCACAAUAAAUAACAAUUUACAUCCUGCAGAGUGGGGGUUAACGGUGAAGUCAUGUAUGAUAGGAGACAGCCUGCCUGAGAAUGAAGACAAAAGAAAGCCGAGAUCAAUCCCUGAUGAUAUCAUUUGAGCUCCUGGGUCCAGACUCCGUUUCCUUAGAAUCUACAGUUAUAUGAACUAAUAAACUCUGUUUCCAUCAA